CAGUUGGUGUUAACUUGGUCUCUGUUCAUCGAGUGGGGCCGAUGUAGAUGGGAUGGAAGAGGGAGGAAGGGAUGAGUGCAAGAUUCCAAGCACCAAUAGUGCUGUGUGUAGUGAUAGUUCUUGUUUGGCUUCAUUAGUUUGCAGAGGAAUUGUCUAGGAGACUUAGCUGGAUGAGACUAUAUCAGAAGUGGAUCUGAGCAGCUUGGGCAUCCUUCUAAAGAGAUGUGAAUAAUUCUCAUGUUUCUGACUGGUACCAAGGGAAAAGAAGUCAAGAGUCAGUCUACUGCCGUGACAUGGUGAAAAAACACUGGCACGUGUGUAUUGCAUGUCUCGUGAGCCAGGGAGUAGUAGGAGGGGACGAAAAUCAUGGAGGGCUGUCGGUGCGAGUGGAGCGGUGACUGUCACUGUUAACUUGGUCUCAUCGUGGGGGGCCGAUGAAGGUAGGAUGGAAGAGGGAGGCAGGGAUGAGGGCAAGAGCUCUGUGUAAUGACGGCUCAUGCUUGGCUUUUUUAGCUGUUCUUACAGAAGAAUUGUUGUUCUGGAGCCGUAGCUGGAGGAGAAACUGCAUCUGAGCAGCUUGGACAUUGUUCUAAGCAGACAUGAACAGUCCUCACUUUCUGCCUUCUGCAUAACUACACUGCACGACUUUUAGCGUCACAUCUGAAGCCUAAGUACCACAGAGAGAGAAGUCAAGGUCCCCGUUGUGAGAUGGAAAGCACACAAGAGCCGUGAGACAGCGAGCGUUGUUGAUGCCAGGCUAUGGCGAUGCCAUCGAGCUGGGAGCGGAGCAGCCAUCACCACCAGUGAGAUAAGUGUCUAGUUUGCUGAAGACUCUGGUAACGGCACACCUGCCUCCAGGGUUGGACUGGUCAUUAAAUGUGGCUCGGUUUGUAGGAAAAGAUUCCUGACUAGCUGUGGUUACGAGGGAGACAAGGUUCCCGUUUUCAGAGGCUGGUCAUUUCUCCGUCCACAAGCAGUGUGUCCUACGCAGCAGAGGGUUGGACCCAGGGGGAUGACUCCAGCUAGUGAGUUUCUUGACUUCCUCCCACGUUUUUCUGUCUCUCUUCUAAUGUGUUGGCCAACACACACUCUGUCUGUCACUCUCUCUCUGUCCUUGCUUUUUCCUUGUGCUGUCUCCUUUUUUAGGACAUGGACAGGUGUGGUAGGUGUGCAUCCCCACAGGCUUGGUCUCGGGAGCUAUGAACAAGUAGGAAGGGACCGAAAUCAUGCAGGGUAGUGGGCACUAGAGUGCAACGGUGACUGUGGGUGUUGAUUGAGUCUCUGCUCUAGUGCAGCUGAAGCAGAUGUGAUGGGAGAGGGAGGCAGGGAUGAGGGCAAGAUUUCGUGCACCAAUUGAAUUUUGUGUCGUGAUGGCUUUUGCUUGGGUUACUUGCUGCAUUUGCAGAGGGAUCAUCCAGGAGCAGCAGCCAGAGGAGAAAUUGGCAGACAUGGACCUGAGCAGCCGGGACAUCCUUCUAAGCAGAGAUUAACAGGCCUCAACUUUCUACCUUCCACAUAACGGGGUGUGAGUAAGCGGUUAGAGCUUGGAAUUCCUCCUCUGUUGUCACUCCAGUUUUGUUCUUCGUAGGGUAUGUGGCUCUGUGGGAUUCAGAUGAGGGAAAGGCACAAGUCUCCUGUUCAGAGUGGCUGUUUUGCGUGUAGUUGCAACAGGCUUCUUUCUAGUUGUGGUCCUGAAGGUGUAAUGGAAAAAGGGUUAUGGGUGGAGGUCUGGGGUGUGGAAAAUGGGAGAAGAACCUAUGUAACGUUGCAGACUGAGAUGCUAACCUGUUUGUUUCCCCCCUUUGUGCUGGGUUAGUACCAAUAGAAAAGAAGUGGAGGGUCAGCGUCCGCUCCUCUCCUGCAAUGGAAAGCGAGUGAGAGCGAUGAGAUAGCAAGCAUUACUGAUGCCAGGUAAG